AAGAGUUAAGGAGCAAACACAGGAAACAGGUAAUUGAACCAGACAGUUCCCCAUGAUGGAGAAACUGUCAGAGCGAACGAGAGACAGAGACGGAGGAAAACAGAGUGAGGAAACCCAAUCAAUUGACUCACACUUGGAGUGUGCAAUUAAGUGGCAUUUCCCAGUACGCGACCACGGAUGAGUUCAUCUCAGCAUGGAAACCCACAUUUCUCCCGCUCCAUCUUCAACACUGCAGUCCACAUGAGACACAUCUCAUUAACCUCCUCGUUUCAAUGUCUUAUACUGGAGACCUGUCAGUCACAAGGCCUCUGAUGACAUCACCAUUCAGGUCGAGUGAAGUAUUUGCACCUGCUCGGUUGUACAGUUUCCCUUUGCAUACUGUAGCCCAAUUUUCAUCCUGUUCUCAAAUAUGGGUUUGGGGAUCUGUCAUUUGUGACUUUCAACAUGAAAGGUAUGUGGAACAAAAACCUUAAGAGACAAUUUGACCAGAUACUUUCAAAAGUGAGUUGAAAUGUAAAACGGUAACUGGCUUCGAUGUCUUUCAUUUUUAACCAUGCAAACAUAUGGUCAAAUGUUUGCUCUUUUAAAUUUAGGAUUAAAUCACUAUACACAAGGACAUUAGUAUUUAACGUCAUCAGCGUGGUUACGGAUUUACAUGCCUCAUAUUGAGAUUUGAUUAAAUCCCCCCUUUGAACUAUUAGCAUCCAAAUGUCAAAGUUUUGGGUCCAUAGUCCAACCUUAUCCUUACACCAACAGUGGUCUCAUUAUGGUUAUACGGAUUGCACAAACAGGAAGUAUCUAUGUGCGGUUGAGGCUAUUAGGAGACUCUGACAGGAUGCUCACCCACGCUCAGACCACAAAUAGUCCGCUGAAGACAUCAUGAAAAGCCCGAGAGAUCCGGCCUUGCGCUACGCCGCUUCAAAUGAGUAAUCGCGAAAGGUGCAGGGAAAAUAGAGCGGGGAUGCAGGAAAAGCGUCCGAGCGUGAGUGUCGAGAGAGGGCCGCCAUUUCUGAAGCUCGGAGAAGCCUGGCGCGCUUGACUUUAGAAAGAAUGUGGAAAGGCCGUUUACCUUUAUCGUUCCGUUUACGGCGAUGGGCAAAUUCAUGUGGGCUUGCGCUUCAUAUUCCACGAUCAGCUAUGGACUGUAAUUCCGUGUAUUCGGACACCUCCAACACCUCCGGCCAGUCCGUCGUGACCGCUCGGGGAAAGAUUAAACGUUGGAAAGGUAUAGCCUACCUCUUCGCGAUCUCCCUCAAACACCGUUAUCUCCGCGCCCCCAUUUCCAGAAGUCUCCGUUGGUUUGUGCGGUGAGGAGAAGAAUGGUGGUUGAUGUCAUCGAUACUCUCCGGAAAGGCAGCCUCUCCUCCUUGGUACCCCCCCAUCACACAUCCCGACGCGAGCCCUCCCUCCUCCCUCCUCCCUCCCUUGCGUGACGUGACAGAAGGCGCGCUCUCCAGCAGCAACAGCAUCCUAGCAGGCGAACUAGUUUAAUUAAUUCCGCAGAGAGCAGAGGGACGAUGAGGGUUUGCUUUUGCCCGCUGUUGAGGGUUUGCUUUUUGCCCCACUUCGUGCGGGUUGCAGGUGUAUACGGGACGUAGAUUCGGAAGACGGCGCGUGCGGUGUUUUCAUAAAGCGCUUACUCCGCACGUGCCGUUUUUCUCCAAAUAUUCUUUCGGAGAAUAAUUACAUUAGCGGCCGUAUCAUCUUUCGCUCUAUAUUAACUUACCCCGCAACAAUAGAUAUGACCCAGUCCUGGAGACUCACCAUCUGCACAAGCGUUGUUCCUGCUUUAAGGCACCUGAUAUAAUUUGCCGGAAUAAUAACUAGGCCUAAUAGUCUCAUGAAGUGAACCAGGUAGUAUACAGUUCUAAACACAUAUAGGAUAGUUUAUCCUGAAGACGGUGACAGAGAACCGAAUGUGGUAUCUGAAUACAGUUUGUACUAGAACGUGAACACUAAGAAAAGUUGAGUAAAAGCCAAAUAUAGAAAUGAGUUCUUCUUUGCCUGCCACUCCUGCUCCUUGAGAGCUAUAUCAUCAUGGUUUCAUAGUAAGGAGUUAUAUAGCUCGCCUUAUUUCGCUUGAUGGAACGAGUUAGAUGGAGCUGGAUCCUAACCGUUUGUGGGCUUACAGCAUCUGAAACAGGGAUAGGUAUACAGAUCUGAAGAAAUUUGUUCAAGAUGCAUUCUGAAGUUGUAGUGUUGCGCACUGCAUUACAGUUCAAUUAACCAAAAUCCAGCUGGGUGAAGGGUGCAGAACAAUCUUUUACUGUUUUAAUUUUGGCAACUGGAAAUCUUUUUCGUGCCUCUUUUAUUCAGGUCACGUAUGCACUCUAUCUAUUUGAGGUUUUAACAUAAACCCAAAUAUCCACUGCACACUAAGCUAAGCAUAUCUGAGCUCUACCCAUGUUGAACAUCACCUCUGUGGUCAGAGAAUAGAGUAGCAAACAGCAGAGUAAAACUCAGACAAACGAGUACACUGAUUUACUUUGGGCUUAACUGUUAAGUGCAAAUUAUGGUAGCGUGAGUUUUAGCCCACCACCCUGGAUGGUUUCAAAAAUGAUUGAAAAGGAUUCCUGCAGUUAUGAUUAAAAUUAGGCCUAUACGAAUGCUGAGAAGAUGGUACGGUGAUUCUGUAACUUAGCCUGAAAGGAGACGGAUGAAAUGUGACCUCUGGCAGGGAAGAGGUCUCAGGCUGAUCUCAGAAAAUUUACUGCUGUUUCCUACAUAAAGGAUCAAAACCUGCUUAAGAACCACCGAGUUCCCCUGAGAAAGCCAAAAGAACGCCUAGAUGUAAUUAAUAUUUCAUACGUGAGACUCGAAGCAGAAGAAGCCGUGAGAAUGACACUGAGUAAAUGCCACAAACAUAACCAUCUUCAUGGUUUUUUUUGUUUGUUUGUUUUGUUUUUUUUAGAAAUGGAUUAGAGCAGAUUGUUCACGUGUUCAAACUCUCCACCUGGUUUCCCUAUCUGACCCAGUGUGAAAGUUGCCUCACUCUUCACUCAGAUUGCAUCACACGAUCCAUAUUUGCUUUCUGGGGUAAAAGGAACACGUGUACCAAUUUGGCCCAGUGAACACAGAAACAAAGGAAGAUAUGUCGUCAAGCUAAUGGCCAAGUAUCACUCAGCGACAAGGACAGCGGGCAAGGCUGUUCCAAGAACUAUAAUCUACUGCCCCCUUGUGGCCGUAGCAUUAACCUUUUCAUCUGACGGUGGAAAGAAAUCUUUGUCUGCUGCUGCUAAACACGUUUUGCAAGGCUGCUGAAUGCUUAGCGGGUUUACAGCACAAACCGGCUGAGGUGUGACAGCCAUCAAAACAAUACAAGUGCGGUAGCUGGUGUGACUGCGGUUAUAAGAGACUGCAGGAGCGAGCAGCUGAUGUCAUGAUGGAGUCCUGUUUUCUGUCUCAUCUGCUGAGCUUUUGAAACAGGGGAGCUGAAGAGGCUACAGGGCAUUCAUCGCUGUAGCACUGCUGGAUGAUGUCUUAGUAAAAACUGAAACAUAUAUAUCAAUAAAAUCCAAUACAUUUCUAGUCCAAACUCAGAGGUUUAGAAAGAAUCUAACCAUCUGCCACCACCCUGGACUGUAAGACAAAAAUCAUUAUCGGUACAGUAUUAAAACUCAUGAUCACAUCUGGCUUUGACAGACAUUUAUAAGUUUCAGAAUAAUGAGAAACUAUAUUCCAAUUAAUCUUUGAACAGUAAUCAGUGAAUCUUGUCACAGGGAGGGGACAUGUGUAAGAGAAGACACGAAUCCUGCUAGCACCUGUUUGGUUGGAGCUAGGUCAACACUCCAUCCAAACAUCAGCCAAUGGGGAGAGCGAGAAAAACACACUACCAGUUAAAAUUUAUUUUACCUGUAUACCUGACUGAUUAAUUUACACUGCUCAAAAAUAAGUAUGUAGACCUAAUCAUCACAGUAUAAUGCCAAGUCAAUUAAACCUCAGGGAUAUCAAUCUGUCUGGUUAGGAAGCACAAGUCAUUGUGAAUGAAUUUCGCCUGCUUUGCCGCAAAUGAAAGUAACAGCAGGUGCACUAGAGAGGCAACAGCAAGCAAACCCCCCCAAAAAAGGAGUGGGUCCACAGCUUACUCUUUCCUCAUCGUUCCUGAUUCUUCUCUACAGUACUGAAGAUUUGCAUUUUGCUAGUGCCCUAGUCAGUACUGGUGGUACCUGUGGCCCAUCCAGGUUGCACAGCUAGGCCAGGAUGGCACAUCCAUACAUGCCAUCGCAAGGUUUGCUGGGUCUACCAGCCAUAGAAGGGGAUCAGCCCAGCUGCUGGAGCAGUAUCUGCUCCUUCAUGCGAGGAGGAACAGGAGGAGCACUGUCACAAGCCUACAAAAUGACCUCCAGUGGGCUACUGGUGUACGUGUUUCUGACCAAACUAUCAAGAGACCCCAUGAGGACCUGAUAUCCUCUAGUGAGACCUGCGCUCACAGCACAGCACUGUGCAGUUCGAUUGGCAUUCGCCAGAGAACACCAGAAUUGGCAGGUCUGCCACUGGCACCAUGCUCUCUUCACUACCGAGUCACAUUAUGAGCUACCAUAAUGAAAUCCAAUCGGAUCAGACCAGGAUUUCAGUUGUUUACUUUGAUUUGCGGUGUGAUUUUGAAUCCAGCCCCCACUUUUCUUCCUCCCGGACCCUUGUUGCAUCAUUUUGUUCUCAAUGAAGUGCACAAUUUAGAUCAGUAAACAUUUUCAACUAGAAUCCUUCAUACAAGAUCUGAUGUGUGGUUUAAGUGUUCCCUUCAUUUUUUGAGCAGCGUGUUCUAAACUAGGGUUAGAAAGUGAAGUAA